UACGGGGGGGGCAAGCGUUGUUCGGAAUUACUGGGCAUAAAGGGCUCGUAGGCGGCCAACUAAGUCAGACGUGAAAUCCCUCGGCUUAACCGGGGAACUGCGUCUGAUACUGGAUGGCUUGAGUUCGGGAGAGGGAUGCGGAAUUCCAGGUGUAGCGGUGAAAUGCGUAGAUAUCUGGAGGAACACCGGUGGCGAAGGCGGCAUCCUGGACCGAUACUGACGCUGAGGAGCGAAAGCCAGGGGAGCAAACGGG
rnacentral:rRNA from 1 species